GGGGUUGUAGCUCAGUGGUAGAGCGCUCGCCUAGCAUGCGUGGGUCCCUGGGUUAGAUCCUCAGCACCA
rfam:Ictidomys tridecemlineatus contig079332, whole genome shotgun sequence.